UAAAAAUUUAUUUAUCUUAGGUAGUAACAGAUUUCUUGAAACCUAAAGAAUUUGGCGGUAUUUUAAAUAAUUAGAGGAACCUGUUAAAUAAAUGAUAAUCCACAACAUAUCUUACCAUAAUUAAGUUUGUAUACCGUUGUUUCCAGAUUAUGUUUAAAAAUUAUGAUCAAAAUUAAUUAAUUUCUGUAAAUCAAAUCAAGGUGCAGCAUAUUUAGGUCUUAAUGGGUUACAAUAUAUUUAUAUAUACGAAUGGAUUAUGAAAAUGUUUUUGAAGGUGGAUUUAAAAGUAAUUUAGAAUUAAAAUGUUUAAAUGAAUAAAAAUUUAAAAUAUGC
rnacentral:rRNA from 1 species